CCAGAGGGCAAUUAUUCAGAUGAGUUUUUUUUUUUUUUUAGGUUUUUUUUUCCUUUCCUGUACUCAGACCCCGGCGUUCUCUCACCUCCUUUCUCAUCAUACACCCCUCCUCCUCACCUCCUCGGCUCGUGGCUUUGCUGCUGCUGGUGUCGCCCGCUGGGACAGACUGUCAUCCACUUGUUGGCUCCCUGCUGGCUGUCCGUUUGGAGGAAUGAAGGGCGAUCUUUUACUUUCCGCGCUUAAGUGUGAGAGCGCGACUGGUGCAGGGUAGGAGAGCCGGAUAAAAAGCGCGCAGGAUGUGUGGAGGAGACCGCCGCUGCAAUAAAUCAUCCGACUAAUUAUGAUGAGCUCGCUCGUGUUGCCACCAGAGGAGGACUGAUCCACCUGUGGCCUCGCCCUCCAUCAGGGCAAGCCACCGUAUCCAGCCCAUCCUUCAUUUCUUGAUGUGGGAACCUAACCUACUUCGAGUGCCCUUACCGCGUUCUUUUGCAUUCCUCAACUGGACUUGUCACGUAGUCUUGCUUCUUGAGUGCAAGUUCAACCAUGUCCAAGGUGCUUAUUUGCACCCAGCACAUAAUUUACCUCCAUAACAAAAAUAUGCACACGGUGCAUUCCUGACAAUGAGGUUAGCCUGUCACACCCACUGAUUACAAUAAGCACUCUUUGAGCAUCCAUAAAGCUGAAUAUGUUUGUAGUAAAUUGCAGAAAAAUGGGAAAACAUAACCUUAUCUUCUGUUUAGGUUGUACAGUGUGGUAAAAUAAAUAAUCGGCUAUUAUUAUGGUUAUUUAGCCUAUCAUAAAGUACAAGAUGAUGCCCCGAAAAGUAUUCAAACACAUUCAACUUUUCCUCAUUUUGUCUCCCUACAACCAUAACAUUCUGUGUAUGUCCUUCUAUAUGACCCAUACAGUACAGUGUAACUGUGAAGUGGAGAAUAAAAAAUCUUAAAAGUGUGUUGUGCAUUUGUGUGUUUAGAUUUGAAAGCUGGAACCUGAAC